UCCUCUCAGUUCCCUCCGCGUGUCGAUGCGUCUCUCGAAGACUCGCGUGGGCUCUCUGCCUCCGCCGCCCACCGCUCAACCGCCGAUGCACCACCGCUCAAACGCUGUAUCUCCUUAUAAAAUGGCUCCCGCCCCUCAAGCUUGCUCCAACGCCCAUGCCCAUCACGCAGCGCCCACACGCUCCAGCAGAUCCAGACGAUGUGAUGCUGGCGGUCGGCGAGGCCUCCUCGGCGCGCGGUUUGGUUCGCAGCGAACAGUGAAGCAGAGCUGCGUGGCGAUGGCGACGACCAGCGCAGGGCACGGGCGACACCGGACAACAAGCACAAGGCCAUGGAGGGGCUCACGCAGCGCGCGGCGGUGCGCGGCUAGGCGGACCUCACGCUGCGGCGGCGGCAGGUGCGUGCUAGCCGUGGCCAUGAGAGGGGGCUUGCGGCGUGACUGCGGCAUGCGGCAGCGGGGAUCUCCCCAACCUCUCCUACCCCCCUUCUGAUGUGGGGAACCAUGGAUUGCCGAUUUUUUGCUGAAUCUUUAGUCGUGUGGAAAUGGCGUUUUGGCUGGGACGCGACGGUGCGGCCAUCGGCGCCCUGCGUCCUCCACCGGUGUCGCAUGCUCAUGCCCCUGCCCCCUUCCUUCGGCCGUCCAGACUGCCUCCGUCUCAGCCGGUGGAUGUCCAUAUGCCGGAUAACGAGUGUAGCGGCGAUCACGGUCUGUCCUGCUCCGCCAGUCCUCUGUCACUUCUUCCGCUGGCUUACUACUAAUGCAGGUGGAGUUCAACAUGGAAGAGCAUGGCCCAAGCAUCAUUCUGGGCGUAGCUGCCCACCUCUAUGUGACGACUGCUCCAAGGCAGACCAAGUGUUCGUCGUAAUGUCAGAGCGGCCACAGUGAUGAUCUUCGAGGUCUGUGUAGUGCCGGAAGACAGCGACCAGUAGCGGGCGCUCGCGCACUGCUUCUGGGAUGACACAGUCAGGACUAAUAAGGAUGAGGAUCAUGUUCAUAUUUCCAGUGGGUUCGUUCCAGUGGUAUGGACGCGGCGACGCAAUUUAUAAAGUUUGCCAGAGCAGCCACUGCGUACUAUCCCACACUCUCUAUCGACGGACCACCUUCUUCCACGCCGACGCCGGUCGCCGGGGUAUGGUCAUCCAUCGCCAUGCAAGAGCGCUCUAAUCCCCUAGACAGUACUGCUCACAGCAGUUGCAGGCGCGAACGCAUUGCCCUCAGCCGUGGAUGCCACUGUCCCGAACCAAGGAUGUGCAGGCAUGUUUUAGAUUAUGAUUGUGCAAAGGAAUAUGUUAGAAAAUGACGGUCUGCAAUGGUGUACCAAAAUAUUGAACAUCUUCUGAUUUUACUGGAAGAUUGAUGUGGACAUUGAAGUUAUUGCACCGGCAGCUGAUUUUUUUUCCUUCACAUUUUUGAAGACUGAAUUUUCAGCAGCACUGCACCAUUAAUUAGCUUUCUGCAUGUGACUUGUGAUUGCAGCUGAUGAAGCCGUCAACCAUUGGAGGCAUGGAAUUGUCGAGCCCAAGGUUCGUCACCCUUGUUUUCUAAAGGGAAGCUAAAGUUGGGGUUGCCAAUCUCCGAGGAUUUUCUCAACGGUUGAAAAGUUUGAUCACUGAGGAAUGGGGAUUACAGUCACAGAUUAUUAUUCGGUUAUUCCUCUUGCUGGUGCCUCCGCUGAAAGUUAUGCAUCCAUAUACAACCAUAUAUAUAAGUUUGCCUCUUCAAUCAGAAGAUUGUAUUAGCUAUUCAAUUCAUAGUUCAACCUUUGAAUAUACAGUUUUGGCUGAGUAGUUUGAGCCUCUGUUGUGCAACUGGAUCAUGGUACACAUCCAGACCUGCAGCUGUGUUUUAUUUUAUUAUCCUUUUUAGAAACUGACACGCUGCCUUCGUUGCCUAAACCCGUGCUUUAAUUAAAUGAUAAAUUUACUAUAAAGAUUUUUUUCUUUGACUCUUAUAUGAAAAAAUUGUACGAACAUGUGAUUGCUAUCCAGAUUAGUCAGGUCAUCCUGCAAAUAACUGUGGGAUACAUUACUGAUACUUACUCAAUCAUUGUAGUGAAAUAAUACAAGAUGGUGAACACCUCGGAUGCAGCUCAAAGGUCAAAUAUCAUGAUAUAGAGUAGGCAUUAAACCUAUCUUAUCUACUUAAUUUUUUGUUGCAGACUAAUCGUCUAUCUUAUCCGUACAUGGCUGAUUAGGAAGUAGUACAGUACCCGCAUGUUUAAUAGUUAUCAGAUUAUUUCUGUACAUAGUUGAUUUGUGUAUUGAGACGGGAGGCCAAGUUGUUCAAUUUGUGGAUUUGAUUUAUUCAGACUGGUGGCAUUCCUUAAUUUCUGAUUCCUGUUUAUGUUUGGUUUUGAGCUGUAAAUUAUUUAUUCUGGCACAUCUAACGGCUGCUUCUUUUGUCUAGCCUUCUUUCAAUGAAAUAUUUCCAGUCAGUAGACUAUACUUGCUAUUCCAAUCACAUACAGGCCUAGGGUUGUCCACUAAGAGAAGGUUGUCUUCAAGCCAUAGAAGCACUAUCGAGCCCUGGAGCUGUGGCGACAGUGCCGUCCCAGCCACCGGCGUCCUCUUCCAUGCCAUGGCCAUCCAGGAGGAGUGCCACGGCUAUCGCAGUUCUCCCCAUGCCAUCCUCCUGGAUGUUGAUCGUGUCCUUGCACCGGCGGCAGCUGGAGCCUGGUACGUCCAGAGAGGCAUGGCCUUGGAUUGGAGCAUUGCAGUCAUCGAUCCACUUCGUGGUAGCCAUGGGGUAGGGUGGCGUAGAACUCAGCCCCGUGAGCUGCAGUUCACCAGUUCAUUCCUCAGCUGUAAGCCUAGCAAGAAGGAAAAUGGUUUGUGCUAUAUAUACGACUGAACUGGACAAUCACAUAGAAGGUAGAUAUUUGCACAUCUGAUUUCUUUUGUGUAGUCUGGGUACUCUUUCCCAUGGUGUUAAAAAAUAUAUAUGUUUGUGAAGUUGUAUGACUUACGUGAUUUUGUAGCACACUAAGUUGACCCAAACUGGCUUGAAUUUGUUGGUUAUUUGGCCUUGCC